rnacentral:rRNA from 1 species
AGAACGAACGCUGGCGGCAGGCUUAACACAUGCAAGUCGAGCGCCUCAGUAAUGGGGAGCGGCAGACGGGUGAGUAACGCGUGGGAACAUACCCUUCGGUUCGGAAUAAUUCAGGGAAACUUGGACUAAUACCGGAUACGGACGAGAGUCGAAAGAUUUAUCGCCGAAGGAUUAGCCCGCGUCCGAUUAGCUAGUUGGUGAGGUAAUGGCUCACCAAGGCUCCGAUCGGUAGCUGUUCUGAGAGGAAGAUCAGCCACACUGGGACUGAGACACGGCCCAGACUCCUACGGGAGGCAGCAGUUGGGAAUCUUGGACAAUGGGGGAAACCCUGAUCCAGCCAUGCCGCGUGAGUGAUGAAGGCCUUCGGGUUGUAAAACUCUUUCGACGGGGACGAUAAUGACGGUACCGUAGAAGAAGCUCCGGCUAACUUCGCGCCAGCAGCCGC